GAGAAAGCUAAGCAGGAGGCUGAGGAAAGGAGGAAACAGGAAGAGGAAGCAGCAAAGCUAGCUUUGGAAGAAGCCACAAAACUAGCCCAGGAGCAAAUCAGGCAAAAAGCUGCUUUGGAGAAACACCUUCAUUUCCAUCAAGAACUCUCUAAGGAAGCCAGUGGUCUGCAGUGGACACAAAACAUUUCCAGACCAUGGGUCUACUCGUAUUUCCAGUCCCUACAAACUCCCAAGCCAUAAGGCUAGAAGAAACAGUAAGUUGAGAAGUGGUGACAGAAAAAAGCUAUAUUUGUAUAAUAAAGCUCUGGCCUGAGCUCCGUUAGUUCCACUCCA
rnacentral:lncRNA from 1 species